rnacentral:rRNA from 1 species
UACGUAGGGUGCAAGCGUUGUCCGGAAUUAUUGGGCGUAAAGAGCUCGUAGGCGGUUUGUCGCGUCUGCCGUGAAAGUCCGGGGCUCAACCCCGGAUCUGCGGUGGGUACGGGCAGACUAGAGUGAUGUAGGGGAGACUGGAAUUCCUGGUGUAGCGGUGAAAUGCGCAGAUAUCAGGAGGAACACCGAUGGCGAAGGCAGGUCUCUGGGCAUUAACUGACGCUGAGGAGCGAAAGCAUGGGGAGCGAACAGG